rnacentral:rRNA from 1 species
AUUGAACGCUGGCGGCAUGCUUUACACAUGCAAGUCGAACGGUAACGCGGGGCAACCUGGCGACGAGUGGCGAACGGGUGAGUAAUGCAUCGGAACGUGCCCGGUAGUGGGGGAUAACUGCUCGAAAGAGCAGCUAAUACCGCAUACGACCUGAGGGUGAAAGGGGGGGAUCGCAAGACCUCUCGCUAUUGGAGCGGCCGAUGUCGGAUUAGCUAGUUGGUGGGGUAAGGGCCCACCAAGGCGACGAUCCGUAGCUGGUCUGAGAGGACGACCAGCCACACUGGGACUGAGACACGGCCCAGACUCCUACGGGAGGCAGCAGUGGGGAAUUUUGGACAAUGGACGCAAGUCUGAUCCAGCCAUGCCGCGUGCGGGAAGAAGGCCUUCGGGUUGUAAACCGCUUUUGUCAGAGAAGAAAUCUUCUGGGUUAAUACCUCGGGAGGAUGACGGUAUCUGAAGAAUAAGCACCGGCUAACUACGUGCCAGCAGCCGCCGUAAUAC